rnacentral:rRNA from 1 species
AUUGAACGCUGGCGGCAUGCUUUACACAUGCAAGUCGAACGGCAGCGCGGGCUUCGGCCUGGCGGCGAGUGGCGAACGGGUGAGUAAUACAUCGGAACGUGCCCAGUAGCGGGGGAUAGCUCGGCGAAAGCCGGAUUAAUACCGCAUACGACCAGAGGGUGAAAGCGGGGGAUCUUCGGACCUCGCGCUAUUGGAGGGGCCGAUGGCAGAUUAGCUAGUUGGUGGGGUAAAGGCCUACCAAGGCGACGAUCUGUAGCUGGUCUGAGAGGACGACCAGCCACACUGGGACUGAGACACGGCCCAGACUCCUACGGGAGGCAGCAGUGGGGAAUUUUGGACAAUGGGCGAAAGCCUGAUCCAGCAAUGCCGCGUGUGUGAUGAAGGCCUUCGGGUUGUAAAGCACUUUUGGCGGGAACGAAAAGGACUGUGCCAAUACCACGGUUCGAUGACGGUACCCGCAGAAUAAGCACCGGCUAACUACGUG